ACCUCCCCUGGCUAUGAUUGACAGAGCCUGCAUGAAAAAAAAACAACUGGUUUCACUUUCAAACAGAUGUAAUUUACCUUAAAUAAUUGUAUCUCAAUCUCUAAAUUGAACUUUAAUCACAUACAUGAGGCUCUUGCAGGGUCUAGCAAGCUAUUAACAUAGCAGGGGAUAAGAAAAUCUUAAUUAAAUAGAACUUGCAAUAAAGAAAGCCUUAAUAGGGCUCUCUUUACAGGAAGUGUUUAUGGAAGGCUGUGCAAGUCACAUGCAGGGAGGUGUGACUAGGGUUCAUAAACAAAAGGGAUUUGACUCCUAAAUGGCAGAGGAUUGAGCAGUG